rnacentral:lncRNA from 1 species
AGUUUCCUGUGAUCCCCAUGCGCUGUUCCAUUCUCAAAUAGGUUUUUCCCAGAGCUACCUACUUACAUGGAAUUACACGUGUUGCUGUGCUGAGACCCAAUGACCCCCAGCAGGCCAUGAAUAACCCAGUGACCUUCGUGUGGUGAUGGAACACUUUCCCAGUGUAAAUUCACUACGAAAGGAUAAAGUACUCAAACUCUUUAGCCAAGAAAGAUCAGCAUUUUGAUCAAAACCUGACAACCUGCUGGAGGUUGAGCACCGCCAGCCUGGCUGUUCCAGUUCACACACUGUGCUGUGGAAGGACUGCUCACCUCUGGGAUUCUAUAGCAGGUCAGUCUAACAGC